UACGGAGGGUGCAAGCGUUAUCCGGAUUCACUGGGUUUAAAGGGUGCGUAGGUGGCCAGGUAAGUCGGAUGUGAAAGCCCGGGGCUCAACCCCGGAACUGCCCUCGAAACUAGGUAGCUAGAAUCUUGGAGAGGCGAGUGGAAUUCCACGUGUAGCAGUGAAAUGCGUAGAGAUGUGGAGGAACACCGAUGGCGAAGGCAGCCCCCUGGGUCAAGAUUGACGCUCAUGCACGAAAGCGUGGGGAGCAAACAGGG
rnacentral:rRNA from 1 species